rnacentral:rRNA from 1 species
GAUGAACGCUGGCUACAGGCUUAACACAUGCAAGUCGAGGGGAAACGACGGGGAAGCUUGCUUCCCCGGGCGUCGACCGGCGCACGGGUGAGUAACGCGUAUCCAACCUGCCUCUGACUGAGGGAUAACCCGUCGAAAGUCGGCCUAAUACCUCAUGGCAUCGUCUGCGGGCAUCCAACGACGAUUAAAGAUUUCAUCGGUCAGGGAUGGGGAUGCGUCUGAUUAGCUUGUUGGCGGGGUAACGGCCCACCAAGGCUACGAUCAGUAGGGGUUCUGAGAGGAAGGUCCCCCACAUUGGAACUGAGACACGGUCCAAACUCCUACGGGAGGCAGCAGUGAGGAAUAUUGGUCAAUGGGCGGGAGCCUGAACCAGCCAAGUAGCGUGCAGGAUGACGGCCCUAUGGGUUGUAAACUGCUUUUAUGCGGGGAUAAAGUGGGGGACGUGUCCUUCAUUGCAGGUACCGCAUGAAUAAGGACCGGCUAAUUCCGUG